AUCGACGGCCGGAGCAGCCAAAUCUACCGGGUCGAUGACUGAAUCGACUGGCACAGCGACCAAAUCUACUGUCGGUGGGCAGCAGGCGAUCCCCUGGAGGCCGGAUCGGUGAUUAGGGACUUGGAGGCGUGGGCUGCUGCUAGGGUUUCGGUGGAGGUUGCCGGCGUGAAGCAUUGGCCACCGAGUGCUGCACGCCAACAGCCAACAGGGGGUACCGUGCAGGUGGGCAGAAGCAGCCAGCGACAACAGUAGGGCACAGGGAUUUAUAUGGACCUUCCAAAUACACUAGACAUUUGCAAGCAACCAAAGAUACUCUCAGAGAAGAAGGUUGUGAACACACAUCUGCAGAGAUAAAAAGGAGUGCCAUCAAUGGCAGCCACAGAUUGGGCAUGAAGUGUAUCCACUAUGAGAUCAAUGUGUUGCUUUUUCGUGUUUAAUAAUUUGAGUUAUAAUAUAUGGUUUGCUUCUAAUGUUUUUUAUUUAUUUUUUAUUUUGGCAAUGCAGGGGACAUAACUCCUCCAACAGGGAUUAGGCAGGCUAUGGAGAUGCAGGCUGAAGUAGAAAGGAGAAUAUGUGCCCAAGUCCUUGAAUCAGAAGGGAAGAAACAAGCCCAAGUCCUUGAAUUAGAAGGGAAGAAAACUGCCCAGAUCCUUUAAUCCGAAGUCGAGCAGCGGAGGAACCCGGCGCUCAGGGGAUAGCCAACCGUCGUGGUGCAGUACAAUGGCUGGAAAGGCGGCGGCUUGAUUGCCGUCAGCUACGAGGCUCGUGGAUUUGGUGUGAAGAGGUCCAUGCGCGGAGAUGAGGCCAAGAGGGUCUGUCCUGGUAUUAAUCUUGUUCAGGUCCCAGUGGCGCGUGGCAAGGCUAACCUUAAUCUUUACAGAAGUGCUGGUGCUGAGGUUGUUGCAAUCCUUGCAAGCAAAGGGAAGUGCGAGCGGGCAUCCAUCGACGAAGUUUAUCUUGACCUUACUGAUGCAGCAAAGGAAAUGCUCUUACAAGCUCCCCCAGAUUCACCAGAGGGGAUUUUUAUGGAGGCGGCAAAGUCAAAUAUCUUGGGCCUUCCGGCUGAUGCCAGCGAGAAGGAAAAGAAUGUGAGGGCAUGGCUUUGUCAAUCAGAAGCUGAUUACCAGGACAAGUUACUGGCAUGUGGAGCUAUAAUUGUUGCACAGUUACGAGUCAGAGUUCUGGAGGAAACCCAAUUCACAUGCUCUGCUGGGAUUGCUCACAAUAAGAUGUUAGCUAAACUUGUCAGUGGAAUGUACAAGCCUGCUCAGCAAACAGUUGUCCCUUCUUCAUCAGUUCAAGACUUACUAGCAUCACUACCUGUGAAAAAGAUGAAACAACUUGGUGGUAAGCUUGGAAGUUCCUUGCAGGAUGAUCUUGGGGUUGAGACAAUUGGUGAUCUCCUAAGUUUUACAGAGGAAAAAUUACAAGAGCAGUAUGGAGUAAAUACUGGGUUUGACCAUAUAAUAUAUAUCCCUACUACUAUAUAAGCAUGGUGUGUAAUGGUAAGUAAUCGGAUCAGAAAAAUUCUGUACUGAAAAUAUUUUUGGAGCAACAUUAUCAUCAGAUGAGAACCUUUCUGUUGCUUUUGUAUUGUUCUUAUGUCAUUCCAUUGCUUUUGUGACAAUACUUUUAUAUCAAUGGGAUGCCCGUGAUUGCUAAAUUGGGUUAUUUUUGUGCUUCCAGGGUUUGGAAAAGGUUCUAGACGAACACAUGGUCAAAGUCUGCAAUGAUCAGUACAGUUUGACUGACAAAUAUACUGAUGGUUGGCUGU